rnacentral:rRNA from 1 species
CGAAGGGGGCAAGCGUUGUUCGGAAUUACUGGGCGUAAAGGGCGCGUAGGCGGUGCACUAAGUCAGGCGUGAAAGCCCUGGGCUCAACCCGGGAAUUGCGCUUGAUACUGGUGCGCUUGAAUCCAGGAGAGGUUGGUGGAAUUCCCAGUGUAGAGGUGAAAUUCGUAGAGAUUGGGAAGAACACCGGUGGCGAAGGCGGCCAACUGGACUGGUAUUGACGCUGAGGCGCGAAAGCGUGGGGAGCAAACAGGAUUAGAUACCCUGGUAGUCCUCGCUGUAAACGAUGUGUGCUAGCCGUUGGGGCUCUUAGAGCCUCGGUGGCGUCGCUAACGCUUUAAGCACACCGCCUGGGGAGUACGGUCGCAAGAUUA